rnacentral:rRNA from 1 species
UACGGAGGGGGCUAGCGUUGUUCGGAAUUACUGGGCGUAAAGCGCACGUAGGCGGCUUUGUAAGUUAGAGGUGAAAGACUGGAGCUCAACUCCAGAAUUGCCUUUAAGACUGCAUUGCUGGAAUCCAGGAGAGGGAAGUGGAAUUCCGAGUGUAGAGGUGAAAUUCGUAGAUACUCGGAAGAACACCAGUGGCGAAGGCGGCUCACUGGACUGGUAUUGACGCUGAGGUGCGAAAGCGUGGGGAGCAAACAGG